rnacentral:lncRNA from 1 species
CUUUCUAAAUUCAUUGUUUUAUUCAUUGUUUUUUUACAGCAAAUUCAUAAUGUUUCAUAGAGUAUUUUAUACAAUAAAUUUGGUUGGUAUAAAAUCACUCCCUAUGUGUCAACUUCUAGCUAUGAAAAAAAAUAACUUCAUAAAAGACAUUAAUACUACAGUCUACAGUUUGGAAAACAACAUGAAAAAAAACAAGCACCAUUUCUCUCCGGUGCACAUUAAAACAACAUGAAUAAAACAUUAAUACUAUAUGUUCACACUAAUGGGUCAUUAUUGGUACAAGGUCAAGUAAUAAGAAGAUAAGCAUUUUAGUUUUGAGCAUAUCGCAAUUUAUAUUUCAAGGGAGUUUCAAGUGUGAAUUCCACAAUCAGGAGACGGUUAAGUGUAUCUCAGAAAAUUUAUAAUAGUGGUCACUUCAAACAGAAACUUGAAUAUACACUCCAUUUUGUUGUCCACUAGAUGAGAGUUUCUUGCACACAAAGGCCUCAAUAUAAAUCAGUUUUACCAGUUCGAAUGCCUUCCUCCACCGGGGUAGCUCUCGGGCGGAGUCAGAAACAGCCACCCAACUGCCAAACAGAACAAUGUCAGUUGACGAAUUUCACGAUCAGGAAACAACAGUAUCAAGUCUUGACUAAUCAGUGACCAAAACACCCCUCCCGCCCUUCUCUCCUUUGCGAAACAGCUAUGGCAUAUCAGUUAUAGGAUGUGAGCAACAAGAUAAUGGAACUGCAAAGGUUCAAAUUCUUCCCUGAAAAGGUCAUCUCAAGUGCAAUAUAAGUACGCCUGAUCAUUUCAUGCAAAUAAAAUAAGUAUUCACAUGCAUAUGGAACUCCUCAGUGAGAAAUAUGCAAAUUUCAGCAGAUAAACUAGUUAUUUACUUCAAGAACUAACAGACUU